GAGACAGUUCGGUCCCUAUCUGUUGUGGGCGCGGGAGAUUUGCGAGGACCCGACACUAGUACGAGAGGACCGUGUUGGACAGACCACCGGUGAGCCGGUUGUACCGCCAGGUGCACCGCCGGGUAGCCGCGUCUGGCAAGGAUAAGUGCUGAAAGCAUCUAAGCACGAAGCCCCCCUCAAGAUAAGAUCUCCACACAAGGGUCGUCAGAGACGAUGACGUAGAUAGGUCGCAGGUGCAGGGGCGGUGACGCCUACAGCCGAGCGAUACUAAUCACCCGAACCCUUUCCGGG
rfam:Bacteroides sp. CAG:927 genomic scaffold, scf21